rnacentral:misc_RNA from 1 species
GCUGACAACAGCUGGGAUAAUUGUUGGUGCUGUUGUGGCAUUUUUUAUGAUGUACUCGUAUCUCAGGGCUAGGAAAAUACUGUAACUUAGCAACUAUUUGAGUUAGGUGGUUCAAAGGUUAACCAUACCUAGCCAAUUAAUUUUGAUUCAUCACUUGUACAAGGGACCACUUGAUGGUAUUUGAAAUACCUGGUCCCAUUUUUUGUUGGUAGUUAUAUAAACAGUAGAGUCCCAUGUUUCGCCUACAAAAUCAGGAAGAGUGGAGCUUCAUUGCUAUCGUAUGUGCUCGAGAAACGAAAAGAGGUUCCAUGUAUUCUUCAAGGAAAGAUUUUGGCCACUGAGGCAAUGGAACAGAACUUGCUCUUCAGACGUUUGUUAGCAAUGCAAUGGCAUUAAAAAAACUCAUGUUAUUGCCUGUGAUUUCUCAGCUGAAACCCUUUUCUUUAAAAUGAUUAAUGAGACCAUAAAGUGCCAAUUCUGCUGCAGCUAUUGAUUAUCCAUUACUCCUUUCCAUCUUAGCCUGGUUUUAUUUAAUUGCAGAAUACUAGCCAUGGCCAUUGGGGGGGUUUUGCCUGGCUUCCCACUGCAGGUAGACACUGCCAUCAGGAUCUAUCACUUGCAGCCAGCCAUUAACUCCACAUUGCGCAGGGAACAUUGGACAAUAGGUAUCAACUUGCGAGGCAACAAUUUAUGAGAAAUAUUUCGGGUCACCAGCACGAGUCAAGGGUUUUUUUUCAUAUAUAUAUCUAUAUAUUGCGGUAGCAUGCCAACCACAAAGAAUUCGGCAACGUUCAUGACUCAACCAAAGAAAAAUCAAGAGAAACAGAUGCAAUCAAAUGUAAAAAAUGGCGGCUACACCUAGAGGCAUGAUACAAAAUCAGUUCGACCGAAACUAAAUUGUACAAUGAAAAAUCAAAAAAGAGAUUUUUUAAGUUUAUGUAGGUAUGCUUGGUCAGGGAUCUUCAAUCCAAGCAUACUUUGAGAGAAACUAGUUUCUAUAUCAUCACCCACACCAUGACCAUAUGCUUCCAGAGUCACGUCUCUGUAGCAAAAUUUCAAUCUCAAUUAUGUGUGAAGCCAAAAACCCUCGCAAAGAAUGCAAGCCACUUGUGGCAAAUCCAUGUUUAAGAAGAAAAGGCUGACACGGAAAAUUAAGGUUUUAAAACACUAAUACCAAUUUGGUCAUGCUUAUUUUGAAGGGAUGUGUGGUUUGGCUGCUCUAUGAUAGCUAUAUUCCCCACUCCAGCUUCCAUAGCUUCUCUCUCAUCCCUUUCCCUCUUGUUUUCAGACAUGUUCCCAUCACUUGCAUGCAGUUGAACAGGAGGCAUGGAAGGUUCAAGCAGACGAGGGCCAGCAGUAAUCCAUGGGUGACUGAGGCAUUGAGCCGCUGUUGGCCUCUUUUCAGGCACAAAAUCAAGUAGGGGAAUAAGAAAGUCAGCCAUGUCAUUUGCCUCCUGCUCACUGAAAUCAUACUUCUCCAUAAGCACCUUACUAACAGGCCAGAAACGCAACCGACGGAUGUGCCUCAGAUCUCCAUAUCUAUUGAAGAAAUCCCGAGAAUAGCGACCACCUAAUGCAAUCUUACGCGGCAUCAUGCCAACAAGCUCCAUCAUCAAUGCCAAGUGAUCCUCAUCCCUAUCGUAAUUGUCGCCACUGUGAGGAUCAAAAAGGACAUCACCAGUGGCCAGCUCAAAGCAAAUACAAGCAAAGGACCAUAGAUCUGCUGGAGUUGAGUAUUUAGAUCCAAGAAUAACCUCUGGACACCUAUAUUGCCUAGUCUGGAUAUCACUUGUAAAUUGUUUGUACGUCCAACAAGCAUUUCCAAAAUCAACCAAUUUGCACUUUAAGUCAACUGCAGCCAAUAGCUUUUGCUUUGUGGAACGACUGCCUCUUCUAUGAGCAAGUUUUUCUUGACAAACACCCUUGUUUUCCUCAUGCUUUCUUGAUUCAUCUUUAGCCACCGAAGUAUUUGGUUCAAUGUGAGAGCCUUCAUUAGAUUUUGUAUCAGUAUUAGAAUCUUCAUGGCCAAGUACUUCAGUAUCUGCACUGUUUUCCUCAUAAACUUCUUUCCCCACGCUACUCUGAGCUGCCUUCUUAGCUUUCUUUCGAAUUUUCUUUUUCUGAUUUUUAGUUAGGUCCCCAUUUAAACUCUGACUAUACUUUGAAGCAGGAGACUCAGCAACAAUUUUAUUCUUGCUGGUUGGGAGGAUGAGAGGAGUGUCUGAUUUACGAGGAUCUUUAGAUGGAUCAAUCAUUGACAAAAGCAAGAUAUUCUCCGGCUUUAAAUCAGUGUGAAUAAUUGAAAGCUGGCGAUGCAAGUAAUCUAAACCCACCAAAAUAUGAAAACAUAUUUCUUUAACCAUGCCUAAAGGAACCCCUCUAUAAUCACUAUACUUAAUAAGGGUCAACAGAUUAUCUCCCAAGAACUCAAAAACCAUACAUACAUGAUGUCCAUUAGGUCCUGAAUGCUUAAAAUGAUCCAAUAGCUUUACAACACAUUUUUCAUCAUCUGGGUCUCCCUCAGCAAUCUGUUUGAGGAUCUUUAUCUCAUCCAUUGCUGCUUCAGUGUAGUGUUGGGCACUCUUUUGAACUUUCAAAGCUACAUUACGCUACAAACAAUGAAUUUCUCAUGUUGUUAAGGAGAGGAGCGAUUAAAACUAAUGGGAAGUGCCAGAAUCCAUGAGAAUGGAAAAAAAAAAUCAUAAAAAUAAAUCACCUUACAGUGUCAAUAUUGAAGGAGUACAAAAUGAACAAGAAACACUAAAUCUAGAAAAAUAAUAAACUUCAAUGAACUUUAAAACCUUCGUCAAACCUAAAAAACAAAACAUCAACAUAAUUAAGUUUGAUCCAAAACAGCAAUAACAUAAGAUGACCCUCUAAUUUUUUAAGAAACCAUCUUAUACAUUACAAUACGUGUGUGUAUUUCUUCUUUAUCUUACUGACAUGUGCACGUCAUCAACACAAUUUACUCAUUUAAGUUUUAUUCCUUCCUUUUCCCCACACUCUACAACCUGAACAAAAAUGUGUCAGUUUCAUUUUCCCAAGCUUUCUCAGCAACCAACCAGACUGAUAACCCAAAAUAUCAAAACAAAUUGAAAAAAAAAAUUAUAAAGAAAUUCGCCCCAUUUCCUUUUCCACAACAUUUUCGUCCACUAAAUACAACUUUGACCAUCAUUUGACCCAAAAAAAAGAGAGGGGGACUAACAUACCGAUCCCUGGGUAUCCCAUGCGAGCCAGACAGUAGAGAAAUGGCCCCAACCAAGCUUGCUCUGCACCACAUAGCGCCCAUUCUUGAACUUAUCCCCAAUUUGCACCGCAUGGUAACCUCCUCUCCUGUAAUCUUCCGUUCCCUCGUCCUCGGACGUGUAAUCGCUCGCGUCACUGCGGGCACCAUUCCUAUCCUCUGCCAUUGACGAACAAAAAUGAUCGAAAAUUUUCACCAAAUGAGGUAAUCAAACUUUAUGAGCGUUUCUUGACCAAGAAUGAGAAACCCAGAGGUGGGUUUUUUGUAAACAAGAAAGCAAUGGCAAGAUGGACAAACCGGGUAAUGAAAAUGAAAAUGAAAAUUCUGACGAGUGGAUAGACAAAUGAACUAAAUUUUUAUUCAAUUUGGGGAUUCCUUGGUUGAAUCCAAGAAAUCCUAUAUGGGUUUUUGUUGUAGAACAAAAACAGAGAAAAUAUGAAGAAAUUGGAGAAAUGGUAAUGGAAUAGGAUCUGAAUGAAAGAGAGCGAGAGGUCUAAGUUGAGUGAAUUUGGGAGAGAAGAAGAAGAAAGAGUAAAAAAGGAGUGAUUCUUUGGUGGUGGCGAAAAAACGAAAGAGGGUGAAUUAGGAUCUGAAUGAAAGAGAGCG